UACGGGGGGAGCAAGCGUUGUUCGGAUUUACUGGCGUAAAGGGCGCGUAGGCGGUCGUGACAAGUCACUUGUGAAAUCUCCGGGCUUAACUCGGAACGGUCAAGUGAUACUGUCGGACUAGAGUACAGAAGGGGCAACUGGAAUUCUCGGUGUAGCGGUGAAAUGCGUAGAUAUCGCUUGGAACGCCCGAAGGUGAAAAACAGGUUGCUGGGGGUUGUG
rnacentral:rRNA from 1 species